AACUCUCUUGGUAUGGCCUGAAGUUCUUGAGGGGAUGUUGUGGCUCUUGGUUGUUCCCUGAUUGCUUGCUACUGCUAGUCCUUGCAGGUCUGGCUAAUGGCAUUUACCUUUGUGACUUAGCCUGUAGUGCAACAGGACUGAAAAUUAAGAUUUCAAAAAACUUGGUUCUUAACCACUCAGCAAGGUUAUUAUGUCUCCACAACCUCAAAUAACUUUAGUGUCAAGGAGCAAGUCAUUGUAGGCUGAUUAGAUCAGAUUUACAAAUACUCUUUGCUACAAGAUGGAAAGCUAACCAAAUGUAGUGUCUGGGGUGGAAAGUAUCAAAAGCCAUUCAGUUGAUUGGACUAGUUAGCACUUAGAUUAAAAAAAGAAAAAUAUUGAUGGUGCAGAUGAGUCUAACAAAUGUCUUCCUCUGAAGGGGGCUGUUAACGUGGAGUCUGAGCUGCUCCCUUUAUGUAUAAUGCAGCCUAUUUCACUCCUGAUGGCAAUAUCAGGGUGGGCAUUUUUAGAGUAAUAGGUGGCUACUUUGGAUAAUGUUGACUUUUUCCCUUGAAUUUGACUGACUUUUCUGUUACUCCUACUCUGUGUAUGGAGGAAGUAACAAAAUAUGUAGUGAAAUCAUACCUCUUUGUCAAAUAUAUAUGCACCUAUCUAUAUCUAUCUAUAUAUACAUAUAGCUUCUUGCUGAAAUUAUGUUUCUCAGACAAAACAUGCAAAUGCAAAUUAACCUUUCCUAGACUGAUAAUUUAAAUCAUGCAGUCCACCUUCCAGCUGCCGAAGCCCAAGUCUCUCCUGCUAACUUGCUGUGUUUACAUGCCCUCCUACCUGUAUACAUAGAAGUUAUUUUUUUUAAAUGGAUAUUUAUUUUUUUAUGUUGGCCAGUAUGCAGAUAGCUUCAUCUGGCCUGGGGAGCUCUUAUACUAGUGGCUGGAACCUUGUCAUAGGCUGGAUCAACACUGGGAUGGUGCUUAGCUCCAAGUCCCCGCCUGGGCUCACUUUGCUCUCUCUGUUUACUUGGUAUUUUCUCCCUCUACAUUGAGCAGUCAUAGCUCCCUCAGUUGUUGUUGUUUGUUUGGUUUUUUUUUUUAAGUGAAUUCCCUUGUGUACAAGUAGCUUGAAUUAGAUUUCAAAUUAUCUGAGCCAUUGACUGUUUUCUGCCUGACUGAGUGAAACAGGUUCCUUUCCCAAACUCUAGAAAAUAGGUUGCUUCCUAUAGAGCUAGGUGGGUGGAUUAAACUAGAGUUUAUGCAAAUCCCAUGUUUCACUCCUAAGUGUAGAAAUAGUCAUUGUUUUCCCUCUACUACUGUGUGUACCACAUGUGACUUGCUUUCUUUAGGGAAUUGUGUGUCAAGAACUGAAGUGUCUGUCAGUUUGGCUUUGAUUAAGCUUUCCUCUUGGAGCCUCUGGGUAUGUCCUACCUUUCUGAAGAAACAUUCCCAAGAGCAGGGUCCAAGAAGGUUAUAUCAUGACAACUUUAUGUCUUAUCUACCAAAAAACAAUGUUGCUCAAGGACUAGACUGUCCUCUCCCCAGCGUCAAGGCAGCCUUUGUUGUCAUGUUCUUAAAGAGAUCACUGCUACCCAAACACUUAAAAGGCAAUUCCUGAUUUUUAAGUAGAGACACAUAUAAACUACUGUAUUCCUUCCACUAGCUGUUCAAAAUUAAAUGACCAGAGACAUUUGUCUUUUACCUUUCUAAAUCAUGUGGGAUUUGCUGGGGGACAUGCCGGGCAUAUCAGUUAUAACCAGGCUUGGGCAACAUUAAAUUUAAUUAGGUUAAGGAGAUUUUAAAGUGAGGGAGGAGCUGGGAGGAUUUAGGCUUGCCUGGUUUGCCAUCAUUCUCAGUAAGCUCUUGAAAUUUUGAGCUGAGGGGUUUGGUCCUCUCCAUUGAUCUCCUUUUGAAUGACAGAGUGUCUUUGGAAUUAUCCAACUGUCUGAUUUCAGGCACUACUACUAGAGUAUGAUUUUGUUUUACACCUGAAGAGGUGAAAAGAGGCAGUAAUGGCCAAAUUUCAGUUAAAUCCAGGGAAGCAGCCACUGGCCAUUCCAAUCAUUUAACGAAACAUACCUUGUAGACAGAAUGAGAUGGUAGAAGGUGGCUGUAUGUGCUAACUAUGUUUGCCACGUAGAAGCUUUAGGGAGGGAUUCCAGAAAUAGCUGAGCUGUGCAGCAAACCCCUUCUUUCUUUGUAGUCUCAUCCCUUCUCCCAAAGCAAAUGGAGGAAAAAUGCCUCCAGGGAACCAGCUAUUUGUUUUUCUGGAGGGAGCCCAUUUGAUGGGUUUCACAUAAGGUAGGCAGCUAGUCACCUGUAUGCAGCAAAUAAUGAGGUGCCAGAGCAUCUCUGGUCUUUAUCACAAUGUGAAUAAUAUUAACUGUGAAGGGGCAUUCCCUCUGUACUUAGCCUUCUGACCCAGGGUUUUAAGAAGGCCCAAUUAUCCCAAUCAAACAGGAAAGGAGCGGCAUUCAUUCCUAUUUGGAUUAAACCAUAAAAGUGUCAAGUGGAAGCUGAGAAACUGGAGAUAGUUUCUUGGUGACUCUUGUUUCAUGUGUUGGGGAAAAAGUGAUUAGACAAUUUCUUAAUCAAUUUCUUCUCUUUGCUGCCCAGGAAAGAACUUUUUUCAAUCAAGGUGUCCUUGGAGACUAGGGCAGGUCCAGGAGCUGUGUGCUCCACAGUUUUGAGCCCUUUUCCUAGUUCUCUGUUGUCUUUUUAGAACUGGUUUUGGCUUCAUGUUGGGAGGCUCUUGGCUGGAAGGUUUAUUGUGUGGUGGCUGCAUGUUAGCCCAUAAUGGAAAAUGGAAAUAGAGUAUUUGGAAACAUUGAGCAGCAUGAACCUUUUUAAUGCUGAACAUGGCCUGGGAAACAGAAUUUUUACUUGCCCUCAAAUAUGCUUAGCUUUAUACCACUUUAAAAUAACUCAGAGGUGAUUUUUUUUCUUGUUUUGUAUAAGCCCACAUUUACAUACAAUUAUUCUUUGUAAACAUAAUGCCUUUUUUCUUGAAAUGCUAAGGUCUAGAUGAAAAAAAUGGUUAGGUGAGAGUAGCAGUGAUGACCCUAGAAAAGCAUGUGUUGAAGCCUGACUUGAUCCUUUGAGUAAAAUAAAUCCUAGAACUGGGAAAGGGUAGGGUGGGGUGGGGAGGGGGGUUACUUUUGUGAAAGGUAUUAGUGCAACUCAAAAGAUCAUGAAAACUUGAUUCUUUAGUGAUUGGGCAGGACCAACAUUCCUCCCCCGGUUAUCCUACUAAAGUUGUAAGCAAUAAGCUGUUAAAAGAAGAGCAAGGCCCAAAAGCCUGCAAAUGACUGAGAUCACUUUCCAUAUACUAUUUUCAUAAAGAUAAUGACUUUUGACUUGAAUAGUAGUUUUAACCAUACAACUUUUAGAUAGCUUUGUUCUAUUUAUAUAGUGACCAUUGAUCAUUAUGGAUGUAUUCUUUAUGAACACUGCUGUAAAAAGAAAAAAAAAAAGGUUUUAAUGACUUACUGAGUUGAAUAGUUAUCAUGGCAAAACCCACAAACUUCAAUAGAGAUAAUGGAUCAUCAUGCAGAGCAUCUGAGAACUAUGUGAUAAUCUAGACUUUAUCAUUUCAAAAAUGUUUUUUUAAAAGAAUAUACAUGCAUGCCAAAUGUCUUUUUCAAUGAUUUGUAAUAUACGUUUUAUGACUGGAACCUUUUUUGUACAAG
rnacentral:lncRNA from 1 species